GGGAUAACAGGAGGAAACUCCUGCUAAUACCGCAUAGCCAUGAGCACCGCAUGGAGCUCAUGCCAAAUAUCCUUUCGGGGAUAGCGCAGGGAUGGACCUAUGGCGCAUUAGCUUGUUGGCGGGACAACGGCCCACCAAGGCAACGAUGCGUAGCCGGCCUGAGAGGGCGGACGGCCACAUUGGGACUGAGACACGGCCCAGACUCCUACGGGAGGCAGCAGUAGGGAAUUUUCGGCAAUGGGGGAAACCCUGACCGAGCAACGCCGCGUGAGCGAAGAAGGCCUUCGGGUCGUAAAGCUCUGUUGUAAAGGAAGAACGGCGCAUACAGGAAAUGGUAUGCGAGUGACGGUACUUUACCAGAAAGCCACGGCUAACUACGUGCCAGCAGCCGCGGUAAUACGUAGGUGGCGAGCGUUAUCCGGAAUCAUUGGGCGUAAAGAGGGAGCAGGCGGCCGCAAGGGUCUGUGGUGAAAGACCGAAGCUAAACUUCGGUAAGCCAUGGAAACCGGGCGGCUAGAGUGCGGAAGAGGAUCGUGGAAUUCCAUGUGUAGCGGUGAAAUGCGUAGAUAUAUGGAGGAACACCAGUGGCGAAGGCGACGGUCUGGGCCGCAACUGACGCUCAUUCCCGAAAGCGUGGGGAGCAAAUAGGAUUAGAUACCCUAGUAGUCCACGCCGUAA
rnacentral:rRNA from 1 species